rnacentral:rRNA from 1 species
UAGGCAUGCAAGUCGAGCGAUAUCUACCUUCGGGUAGUGAAAGCGGCGAACGGGUGAGUAACACGUGAACAACCUGCCCUCACAUUCCGGAUAAUAGACUGAAAAGUCUUGUAAUACGGGCGAGGAUUUUCUUUAGGCAUCUUUAGAAAAGGGAAGGCUGGGGAUUUAUCUCUGGUCGUGCGAGGAGGGGUUCGCGGAUUAUCAGAUAGUUGGUGGGGUAACGGCCUACCAAGUCUACGACGAUUAGCUGGUCUGAGAGGAUGGUCAGCCACACUGGGACUGAGACACUGCCCAGACUCCUACGGGAGGCUGCAGUCGAGAAUCUUGCACAAUGUACGAAAGUAUGAUGCAGCGACGCCGCGUGAAGGAUGAAGGCCCUUGGGUCGUAAACUUCUUUUAUCGGGGAAGAAUAAAUGACGGUACCCGAUGAAUAAGCCACGGCUAACUACGUGCCAGCAGCCGCGGUAAUACGUAGGUGGCAAGCGUUGUCCGGAUUUACUGGGCGUAAAGAGUAUGUAGGCGGAUGUUUAAGUAGAAAGUGAAAGGUUGGAGCUCAACUCCAACACUGCUUCCUAUACUGGAUAUCUUGAGUACUGGAGAGGAAAGCGGAACGACACGUGUAGCGGUGAAAUGCGUUGAUAUGUGUCGGAACACCAAUGGCGAAGGCAGCUUUCUGGACAGACACUGACGCUGAGAUACGAAAGCGUGGGUAGCGAACAGGAUUAGAUACCCUGGUAGUCCACGCCCUAAACGAUGUUCACUAGGUGUCGGGGGGUAACCUCCGGUGCCGCAGCUAACGCAUUAAGUGAACCGCCUGGGGACUACGGCCGCAAGGUUGAAACUCAAAGGAAUUGGCGGGGGACCGCACAAGCGGUGGAGCAUGUGGCUUAAUUCGAUGCAACGCGAAGAACCUUACCAGGGCUUGACAUGUAACUGCAAGCCGCCGAAAAGCGGUCGCCUUCGAGGGUGUUACACAGGUGGUGCAUGGCUGUCGUCAGCUCGUGU